UUGUGGAGGAGGACGCCGAAGGUGGGGCUAAUGACUGGGGUGAAGUCGUAACAAGGUAGCCGUACCGGAAGGUGCGGCUGGAUCACCUCCUAACAGGGAGACAACAAAAUGUUUAAUAUUAUUAUUUUGUCACCUUAGGUCGAUCGGUAUCUCACGUUUUUAAUUUAUUAAGAAUUUCAUUUCCUAAGUUUUUCUAGGUCACACCCAUUUUUUUUCCUGGGCCAUUAGCUCAGGUGGUUAGAGCGCACCCCUGAUAAGGGUGAGGUCCCUGGUUCAAGUCCAGGAUGGCCCAUAUCUCUAUGUUGGGGGUAUAGCUCAGUUGGUAGAGCGCCUGCUUUGCAAGCAGGAUGUCAGCGGUUCGAGUCCGCUUACCUCCACUGAUCACCACCUCUUCCAUAAUCGGUAAAAAGGAAAUUUUUUGAGUUGUGAUCAAAUUCUGAAAGAAUCUAGCUUCCUAAUGAAAUCAUUAAGAUGCUGGACUCAUUGAAUUAAUUUCAUUGUUUUCAGAGAACCUUGACAACUGCAUAGAUUAUUUUUAAAGACAAUAAGCAUCUUUAAUGAUGCAGAUUUAUUAUUUGUGCAAAUGCAUUAAUAACAAUUCUAUUAAGCUGAUGCUUCAAUAUUUGAAGUUAUUGGUCAAGCUACAA
rnacentral:misc_RNA from 1 species